rnacentral:rRNA from 1 species
AAUUUUGGCCACUGGGCGCAAGCCUGAUCCAGCCAUGCCGCGUGAGUGCAGAAGGCCUUCGGGUUGUAAAGCCCUUUCGGACGGAAAGAAAUCGCCCAGGCUAAUACCCUGCGCGGAUGACGGUACCGGCAUACGAAGCACCGGCUAACUUCCUUCCACGCGCCCCGGUAAUACGUAGGGUGCGACCGUUACUCGGAAUUACUGGGCGUAAAGCGUGCGCAGGCGGUUGAUUAAGACAGGCGUGAAAUCCCCGGGCUUAACCUGGGAACUGCGCUUGUGACUGGUCAGCUAGAGUACGGCAGAGGGGGGUGGAAUUCCACGUGUAGCAGUGAAAUGCGUAGAGAUGUGGAGGAACACCGAUGGCGAAGGCAGCCCCCUGGGCCGAUACUGACGCUCAUGCACGAAAGCGUGGGUAGCAAACAGG